AGCAUUUCAGAUGAGAUCUAUGAGGCUUCCAGUCUGAGGAAACAGGAUCAGCUGAGUUCUGCGUAUUAACAUGCCCUGAGUUGGGCUGGUGUGUAAGAGGGAAAUACACAGACAGAUACCAGGAUGGGAGCUGUGCUGCUUGGAUCCACUGACAUGCAGAGGUGUGGAGGCCUGAGAGGGUGGUCACAAAUGUCCUGUUCCCUCUGCGGUCACAUUUCACUGUCAAUGUCUCCGGCUCCAGGGUGCAUAUGUUUUCGCUCAGAUCCUGCCAGCACGUGUGCAAACUGAUUUCAAACUUCACUAAUUGCAACAUCCCUGUCACUGCUUUAUUUAUUUAUUUUUCACAUCGGUUAAUUAUUUUUCCAAGUUAAUAAACAUG